ACUGCUCAGUAACACGUGGACAACCUACCCUCAGCACGGGGAUAAACCCGGGAAACUGGGUAUAAUGCCCGAUGGGCCUCGGAUGCUGGAAUGCACCGAGGUCGAAAGCUCCGGCGCCUCAGGAUGGGUCUGCGGCCUAUCAGGGUAGUAGUGGGUGUAAAGUACCUACUAGCCUACGACGGGUACGGGUCGUGAGAGCGAGAGCCCGGAGAUGGAUUCUGAGACACGAAUCCAGGCCCUACGGGGUGCAGCAGGCGCGAAAACUUUACAAUGCUGGAAACAGCGAUAAGGGAACCUCGAGUGCCGAGAUACAAUUUCGGCUGUCGUUCUGUCUAAAAAACAGGAUAUAGCAAGGGCCGGGCAAGACCGGUGCCAGCCGCCGCGGUAACACCGGCGGCUCGAGUGGUAACCGCUAUUAUUGGGUCUAAAGGGUCUGUAGCCGGCCCUGUUAGUCUCUUGGGAAAUCCGGCAGCUCAACUGUCGGGCUAUCAGGAGAUACUGCAGGGCUCGAGACCGGGAGAGGUGAGAGGUACUUCAGGGGUAGGGGUGAAAUCUUGUAAUCCUUGAAGGACCACCAGUGGCGAAGGCGUCUCACCAGAACGGAUCUGACGGCAAGGGACGAAAGCUAGGGGCACGAACCGGAUUAGAUACCCGGGUAGUCCCAGCUGUAAACGAUGCAGACUAGGUGUUUGGACGGCCACGUGCCGUUCUAGUGCCGCAGGGAAGCUGUUAAGUCUGCCGCCUGGGGAGUACGAUCGCAAGAUUGAAACUUAAAGGAAUUGGCGGGGGAG
rnacentral:rRNA from 1 species